rnacentral:lncRNA from 1 species
GGGAUGUAUUAAUUUGUGCAAACUCAUUUCAGUGGUGUAACCAGUGUUACAGAUACAACCUGAAUCAUGUGGCAUGGGGUAUAUUCAUUAUGCCACUCAUUCUAUUUGACAUAUUCAGGUGGAUACAACCCCGGUUUUGCCCUGUUUGCUUCAGUUAUUUCCAGUGAAUACACUCCGUACCAUUAAUCAGAUCAAGUCCAGUCAGCUAUUACACCUGUAUCACCUUGACAACGUGUCUGGAAACAACCCAGGUAACCAGUAACCACUAAGGAAGUCCAGCGGACUUGCUGCCUACUAAACCCACCUAAUAAAUACGUGAAGAGAAAACACAUGAAACAUACCAAACAAUGUCCACUGCUGGUGUGACCAACCCCCCCCCCCCCUUCUAAAAUGUAACAACAAUGAUGUUACAACCAUAAAUAAACUGUAGCAAGCCGUGUUUAUAAUCAUGGGCAUAUCGUCUUACAACUUCGAGCAUUCUUUGUGAACACGCUGAUGCCACGCAGGGCCAACAGCCAGAAGGUUGAGGGUUUGCUGUCCACCAUGUACGAGACUCUCCCUGCCUGUCCACCAUUAGAGACUCUCCCUGCCUGUCCACCAUGUACGAGACUCCCCUGCCUGUCCACCAGUACGAGACCUCCCUGCCUGUCCACCAUGUAAGAGACUCUCCCUGGCUGUGCCACCAUGUCGAGACUCUCCCGGCCUGUCCACCAUGGACGAGACUCCCCUGCCCUGUCCUCCACCUGGACGAGACUCUCCUGCUCGGGCCACCAUGUACGAGACUCCCCUGCCGUCCCACCAUGUACGAGACUCUCCGCCUGUCCACCAUGUACGAGACUCUCCCGGCCUGUCCACCAUGGACGAGACUCUCCCUGCCUGUCCACCAUGGACGAGACUCUCCCCUGCCUGUCCACCAUGGACGAGACUCUCCCUGCCUGACUCUCCCUGUCUGUCCACCAUGGAGAGACUCUCCUGACUGGACUCUCCUGCGACUCUCCCUGCCUGUCCACCAUGGACGAGACUCUCCCUGCCUGAUCCUUAUUAACUGUGGAGAGUAGACGCACACGACCCUUGUCACUGUCCAGAGUAGACCCACUACUGAUUCCUUAUCAACUGUCCAGAGUAGACCCCACUACUGAUCCUUAUCAACUGUCCAGAGUAGACCCACUACUGAUCCUUAUACACUGUCCAGAAGUAGACCCAUACUGAUCCUCAUUACUGUCCAGAGUAGACCCACUACGACCUUAUUAACUGGAGAGAGUUGACCACCACUGAUCCCUAUCAACUGUCCAGAGUAGACCCACUCCUGAUCCUAUAAACUGCCCAGAGUAGACCACUACUGAUCCUUAUCAACUGUAAAGACUAGACCCACUACUGUUCCUUAUCAAACUGUCCAGAGUAGACCACUAAUGAUCCUUAUCAACUGUCCAGAGUAGACCACUAACUGAUCCUUAUACACUGUCCAGAGUAGACCCACUACUGAUCCUUAUACACUGUCCAGAGUAGACCCACUUACACGCUGCCUAUCAGCUGACCUCUCCCGCUGACCUCUCCGCUGCCUAUCGGCUGACCUCUCCGCUGCCUAUCGGCUGACCUCUCCGCUGCCUAUCGGCUGACCUCUCCGCUGCCUAUCGGCUGACCUCUCCGCUGCCUAUCAGCUGACCUCUCCGCUGCCUAUCAGCUGACCUCUCCACUGCUAGGUAUAGAUAGAGGGCAGGAUAGACAGACUGGUAGACUAUAUUGUUACUAUGAAUGGUGGAUAGAGGCCAGGAUAGACAGACUGGUAGUCUAUAUUGUCACGAUGAAUGGUGGAUAGACAGACUGGUAGUCUAUAUUGUCACGAUGAAUGGUGGAUAGACAGACUGGUAGACUAUAUUGUUACUAUGAAUGGUGGAAACAGACUGGUAGUCUAUAUUGUCACUAUGAAUGGUGGAUAGACAGACUGGUAGUCUAUAUUGUUACUAUGAAUGGUGGAUAGACAGACUGGUAGUCUAUAUUGUUACUAUGAAUAGUGGAUAGACAGACUGGUAGUCUAUAUUGUUACUAUGAAUAGUGGAUAGACAGACUGGUAGUCUAUAUUGUUACUAUGAAUAGUGGAUAGAGGCCAGGAUAGACAGACUGGUAGAUGUCAUUGUCACUAUGUUGAAUAACCUGUCCUCUCUGCUACCUACAUUCACUUUGUUGAUUAACCUGUCCUCUCUCCUACCUACAUUCACUAUGUUGAUUAACCUGUCCUCUCUGCUACCUACAUUCACUAUGUUGAUUAACCUGUCCUCUCUGCUACCUACAUUCACUAUGUAGCAGAGAGGACAGGGUUUAAUCAACAUAGUGAAUGUAGGUAGCAGAGAGGACAGGGGUUAAUCAACAUAGUGAAUGUGGUAGCAGAGAGGACAGUUAAUCAACAUAGUGAAUGU